rnacentral:rRNA from 1 species
UACGGAGGGUGCAAGCGUUAUCCGGAUUUACUGGGUUUAAAGGGUGUGUAGGCGGGCAUUUAAGUCUGGGGUGAAAUCUCCGAGCUCAACUCGGAAACUGCCUUGGAUACUAUUUGUCUUGAAUUAUGUUGAGGUUGGCGGAAUAUAACAUGUAGCGGUGAAAUGCAUAGAUAUGUUAUAGAACACCGAUUGCGAAGGCAGCUAACUAAGCAUAUAUUGACGCUGAGGCACGAAAGCGUGGGGAGCAAACAGG